UUUUAAGUGGGAGAACUUGCACAAUUGGUGGCUGACUAAAUACUUUUUUCCCCCACUGUAUCUAUUCAUAAAGUAGGCUAUUUCCUUGUAUUUGUAAAAUCAAGUAACAUUCUACAAUUGUAUUUCAUCGAUAAGACAUCAAAUGUUUCCUUUAUAUAAGUUAUGUAUGGAAAAAUUUGAGGGCAAAAGUCAAUUACUAACUAUUAUGAGUAAUUUCCCCAGAAUUAUGAAGUGGCAGAUGGUGUUUGCCCUGCAGCAAAGGACAAUGUGGAUGGAGAUCUUCCAGAUCUCAUCAAAAACUUCCAACAUCUGAACAUGUAUGGAGAUGAGAAGAUGGACUGGGCUGAUCAAGAAAUGGGAGUGACCUGCUUCCAGGAAGAGGAGCACAGUGAGGAAAUGGACUGGAUCACCUCAAGAAAUCCCAACUUCUGCAUCUGGAGAGAAAGAGAAGAUGAUGAAGACAGCCUUUAAAUGAAGACAGCCUUGAAAUGAAGACAGGCUUUAAAUGAAGACAGCCUUUAAAAUCGUAUCUUCAUUAGCAACCCAUCUGUUGGAUGGCUUGUUCAUCAAACCAUUGGCCUAGUUCACACUCCUGUUGUACAACGCAUGUCACACAUCAGUGGUGAUACAAUUUAAGGAUCAUUUUAAUGGGUUUGUCUGCAACAAAAAAAAUCCACAAUAGUUGGGUAAAGAUUUUAGUGCAUACAAACUUAGCCACAUCAGUUGUAUCACCUCAGUGUGAAUUACGCCACUGUAGCGAAAAUAUGGCAUUGGUACACUCUUAGGAUUUUGUAAAUACUGUACAGUAGGCUAUAUGUUUAUACAUUGUAGAUUGACAUGUAAAUAUGUUGGUGUGUAUUUAUUUAUUUUCUCACUCAUCUGUUGUUUGUUGGCCUCUUUAAUAUCUGGUAAAUGGUAUAGGUGUAGCCAUAGAGGGUUUAGUAGGUGUAGAUGUAGAUAUAUACACUGAGUUACAAAACAUUAAGAACACCUGCUCUUUCCAUGACAGACUGACCAGGUGAAUCCAGGGGAAAGCUAUCAUCUCUU